rnacentral:ncRNA from 1 species
GGUCCCGAACUAGCCGUUGUUCUUCACUGAACUUACACAUGCAAGCAUCCCCAUCCCAGUGCCCAGCGCCCUAAAGGAGCAGAUAUCAGGCACACCACGGUAGCCCAAAACAUCUAGCCCAUGCCACACCCCCACGGGCCCCAGCAGUGAUUAACCUUAGGCCAUGAGCAAAAAGCUCGACCUAGUUGCAGUGUUUCAGGGCCGGUAAACUCCGUGCCAGCCACCGCGGUUAUACGGAUGGCCCAAAACAACCUCAUGCGGCGUAAAUUGUGACUAGAGACCUAUAUGAAGCUAGCACCAGCCAAAUUUAGCCGUAAAAAGCAAAACAAAUAGGAAUAACCUUCAAGCUUCCACCAAAAAUCUUGACCCCACAAAAGCCAGGAGACAAACUAGGAUCAGAUACCCUACUAUGCCUGCGCCAUAACCCUAGAUAGUCCACUUCCCACACCACUAUCCGCCAGAAAACUACAGGCGAAAAGCCCGAAACUCAAAGGACUUGACGGUGUUCCUUACCCCCUAGAGGAGCCUGUCCUAUAACCGAUAAUCCACGAUCUACCUUACUCCCCCUAGCACAACACAGCCUAUAUACCGCCGUCGCCAGCUCACCCCAUGAGGGAAAAGUGAACACAAUGGGGCCCCCCCCCAACGUCAGGUCAAGGUGUAGCUCAUGGGGGAGCAGAGAUGGGCUACAUUUUCUACCACUAGAACACCACCAAACUGCCAUGAAACCUGGCACAAAAAGGAGGAUUUAGCAGUAAACUAUCAAGCAAGACAUGCUUACUUGAAGCACCCCCAGGAACGCGUACACACCGCCCGUCACCCUCGUCAACACACAAUUUACAAAACCCAGUACA